GAAGUAGGAGGAAUCUCACCCAGUACUGACCGGAAAGGGAAUGUCACGCCAAAUGAUUUGCACAAGUUUACAGGCAAUGGUGAGAAAUCAUUAUCAACUAACCAAAAAUAUAUGAGAGUGUUAACCAUGAACUCUGCUUUUUCAACAAUUGGAGUCUCAUAGGAAAAAGAGUAGUGAAGCAGUGAGCUCCUAUAUGGUUGAUGUGCCUUCAUAUCAGCUACAGGCACAUAUGCACGGAGAUAUGCAUACAAGAGACGCAUAUACAAAUCGCCCUCAUUCUUCUGCUCCAUCCCACGUUUGGUACUUGAUAAACCUGGAAUCGAAUAAGCCCAAUUCUCCAAUCUAAACCUUCUGCUUCUUCUAACACUUACAGUUUGAGGGCCCUCACUGUUACCUCGACAAACAGGGUAAUAGACAAACCAGAACAUGUAAUAUUCAAACACAUUCAACUGAACCUGAAAUGAAGAACCCUUAACUGAGUCCUCCUUCAACCUAUUCUUGAAUAACGGGCAUAAGUCAGACAAAACCAAAGAAUCCCUUUCAUUUUGAAGCAUAUGACGAACCCAUUCGGGUAACCUUUCUACAGGAAAUACAUAUUUAACCAGAGACAGCCCAUCCGCAGCCACAAUAGAAGAUAGCAACACACCAGUGGGCGAUAAUAAGCUGAAAAUUCUGCCUGCGAGCUGAGUAUCAUUGGAUAAAGUGGCGAUAUCUAUCCAUCCAGAAGGAGACAUAGACUUGACAGCAGCUGAAGCAGAAGACGAUUCAUCGAACCCGAAAAUUUUACAUAUUAGGGUUGGGAAAGUGAUGGAGAAGAACCAUCGGGUCUGGUCAGCUGUAAGCUUGUGUAGA
rnacentral:misc_RNA from 1 species